GGUCUUGUAGUUUAUAUAAAACUUUAAGUUGCAGCCUUAAUGAAGAGGCAGUUCUCCAGGACUU
rnacentral:tRNA from 1 species